rnacentral:rRNA from 1 species
UUAACCGGAUUAGAUACCCUGGUAGUCCACGCCGUAAACGAUGUCGACUUGGAGGUUGUGCCCUUGAGGCGUGGCUUCCGGAGCUAACGCGUUAAGUCGACCGCCUGGGGAGUACGGCCGCAAGGUUAAAACUCAAAUGAAUUGACGGGGGCCCGCACAAGCGGUGGAGCAUGUGGUUUAAUUCGAUGCAACGCGAAGAACCUCACCUGGCCUUGACAUCCACGGAAUUCGGCAGAGAUGCCUUAGUGCCUUCGGGAACCGUGAGACAGGUGCUGCAUGGCUGUCGUCAGCUCGUGUUGUGAAAUGUUGGGUUAAGUCCCGCAACGAGCGCAACCCUUAUCCUUUGUUGCCAGCACGUAAUGGUGGGAACUCAAAGGAGACUGCCGGUGAUAAACCGGAGGAAGGUGGGGAUGACGU